GCGCAAUUAUUCAAUCUAUCUCUCUUCCCCUAUAAGUUCAACACUAUGCCUGAUGCAUAUAUAAGUAUGGAUAUACAUGUAGAUAUUAAAGCAUACCCAAUUUGAUAUUAUAUUAAUAAAUGGUAAAUUAUUGAGUAUAAAUCUAAUAUUAGUUAAUCACCACACAGGAAGUGAUGUAGUUCAUUAUAGGGUUUAAAAACCCAUCAGAUUCAGCUUUCAGUUUAUGCAGCAGCUAGGAGUGUUACUAACUGGUGAGAGGUUUAAAAUUUCCUAUGUAAAUUAUUUUGAACCGGGCACUGCUCAGUGGAAAAUCACUAAAUGGGCCAUAUCUAAUUUUCAAUUGGUGUCAAGGGACAAGCAGCCCCGAACCCCCACCCACUCGGAUCUAUCCCUGCAUAGCAACGAGGAGUGGGAACCGACCCAGGAGGGGGAUACGACCGACCAGGCUUGCAGUGACCAGCCGCGGUCGUCAAGGGCCCAUGAGAAGACUAAGAAAAAGCCUAGUAGAAAGGCAAGAAGCCAGCCAGAGGAGCAGUCGGAGGAGGAAGCCUCUGGUGAAGAUGCAGGACCGAAAAAGCCGCGUGGCCCCAGAUACACUGAGGCGGAAAACUGUGCUCUAGUGGAUGGCGUCGACAGGUCCUACGACGUUCUGUAUGGACAAAGGGCACAGACCACAUCAGCUAGGACAAAGCGAAGCAUCUGGGAUGCCAUCGCGAGCCAAGUCACUGCAGUAUCUGGAAACUGCCGGAGCACCAGAAACUGCAUGAAGCGGUACAGUGAUUGCCGCAGACAGACCAAAAAGAAGAUGGGGAUUCAGCGCCGACAUGAGACCGCUACAGGAGGUGGACCGGCUCUCAACCUGAAGUGGCUACCCUGGGAGAAUGUUAUUAGAAGGCGCAUGAACCCUGCCAUGGUCGAAGGAGUUCGCGGAGGUGUGGACUCUAGCCGUCCUGCUGGCUUUCCCGAGGAGGAAGAACCGCCCAGAAGGCGGGAGAUAAGGAGGCCUGAUGACAGGCCUGCCCAGAGGACAUCACCUGCGCGCAGGACAUCGCCAGCGCGCGGACCGACACCUGCGCAGCAGGCAUCGACAGCAGCGUGCGGACUGACACCUGCGCAGCAAGCAUCAGGAGCGCGCAGAUCUUCACCUGUGCGCCACAGAUCGUCAUCGCACAGUUUGUCACCUGUGCACCAGACGACGUCGGCGCGCAGACUAUCACCUGUGCGCCAGACAUCAGCGCACAGAACUUCACCUGUGCCCCAUACACCGUCGGCGACCACACCACAAGAUGGGCGCCAAACUACAGCUCCUGCGCGCAGGUCAUCACCAGAUCGUCGUAUCUCCAGGAGCUCAGGGACUGACUGAAGAGCCUCAAGACACAACCCUUGUGGACCCAUCACCCGAUCUGUUUGAGUCUACAGGGUUAACAGAUGAGUUAUGGGUUUGAGGACAGACGUAUCCAGCCAGACCCUUGAAAAGUCUUCAGAUACGAGGACAAGUGAAGCUCCUGGAGCAGCGGCACCACAGGAUGUAGAAGUGGUGCCACGGACCAGCAGCGGACUAGCUUUGGGAAUUGGUUCCUACUACAGGCCGGAUCUCCUCCUACAGGAGUCGUCAGAGGAUGACGAGGUGGAAGUGCAGCAGGCUGCAGUUGCUACAUCCCUGUCUGCCCAAAUGCAAGUGGUGGCAGACGCCCAGGAAGGGCAGAAUCCCUCAACUGUUCAGAGGGUGAACACCCUGGCAUCGGAGAUUACUUCCCGCCAGGAUACCUACACAAAUGUUGUUGGAUGCAGACUGGACAACAUUGAGAGGACAAUGGAGAAGAUGUCAAACAGUCUGCUUGAAAUGCAGAAGGCUCUUGCCGACAGCACGGCCACAAUGCUACAGGUCAGAAUGGACGAUCAUAGGGAGACUAUGGACGUCCUUCACAUUCUGGCCGAAUCCAUGGGCCGGCUCGUGGAGAACACAACAUGUCUGGCACACAGCAAUACCAACAUGUCGGAGAGCCAUCGACAAUCCUCAUCCAGCCAACAGCUCAUCGCAACCACACUGCAGAUCUAUGACAAGCUCCCAGAACCAGCUCAUCAACACGCUGGUGAUCCACCAUUUCCGCCGUCGCAAGCCACAAGGAUGCCUCGUACCCUUCCUCAACUACCAUCCCAGUACAGACAGUCACAGAUGUACCAGGGAUAUACGGGGAUGUACCCCACCCACCAGAUGCCUCCACCACCGGCCGCCACAUCUACAGCCGCAUGGGCACAGAGGCCCAGUCAACGUACUACCAUGCCUCCUAGGACAUCGACACCCCACACUCAGGAGGAACACCAGGAUCCGGACAGACUUUCACCAUAAGCCCGGUCGUAUUGUUUUAUUUACUUCAUAUGUUUUUCAUGUAUCCUUUUCUUCCCCUCCCAUUUGUUUGUUUUCUUACUAUUGUUUUUCUUUGUUGGGCUUCCCCACCCGUGACCGGGUACUACCAAGGAGCUUUGUGUAGGCAUACAUGGGCAUGUAUGCGGGCGCGUGUGGUAACGGAUGAAAGCUCCUUGUGGCUACAUGUAUGAUGGGCCAAAGAGCAAUUCUGAUACCACUCUUUUACCCAAAAAAUCCUUUUUGUAAUGGUGUACAAUAGUCUUUCACUGUUGUGUGAAUUUACUAUUCACUAGUGUGUUUUUGGCUUAUUCAUAGGAUUGGGUGGAAAAUUGAAGUGGACGGCAUAAGUUCGUGUUGUGCGU